rnacentral:tRNA from 1 species
GCUAGCUUAGUAUAAUUAAAUACAUGUGACUGUAAAUCAUAUAAUAAAUUCUUUAGAUUUAGCUAGAA